rfam:Bombyx mori DNA, contig: Bm_scaf48_contig25698, strain: p50T/Dazao, build 2, whole genome shotgun sequence.
UUUCAGGUUUUUUUUAAAGCCAUAACAUUUUGUCAGUAAGAAUUACU